AGAGGUAGAGUCAUAGUGAAGAGAUAAACCUAGUGGCGGACGGGUGAGUAAUGCAUGAGCAACUUGCCUUCAGAGGGGGAUAACACAUCGAAAGAUGUGCUAAUACCGCAUAACAUAUUUUGUUCGCAUGAAUGAGAUAUCAAAGGAGAAAUCCGCUGAAAGAUGGGCUCAUGUCUGAUUAGAUAGUUGGUGAGGUAACGGCUCACCAAGUCGACGAUCAGUAGCCGGACUGAGAGGUUGAACGGCCACAUUGGAACUGAGAGACGGUCCAGACUCCUACGGGAGGCAGCAGUGGGGAAUAUUGGGCAAUGGGCGAAAGCCCUGACCCAGCAACGCCGCGUGAAGGAAGAAGGUCUUCGGAUUGUAAACUUUUGUCUUAUGGGACGAUAAUGACGGUACCAUAGGAGGAAGCCACGACUAACUACGUGCCAGCCGCGGC
rnacentral:rRNA from 1 species